UAAAUGUUGGAUGUGCUCGGGAAGGUACUCCACAUGAAAGGCUGCUAAAAACUGUUCCCAAGUGACUAGUGUAGGCAGGGUGGUCUGCUUGAGCUCCCACCAACGAUCUACUUCCCCCACCAGCAUGUAGGAAGCAAGAGUAACCCUCUGCUCAGGAACCACUCUUAAGGUCUUGAAAGCCUUCUCUGUCUCCGCCAACCAGUAUUGGGCAUCUUCAAAAGAGGACUCCCCUGCAAAAGUGGAAGGGUUUAGUCCCCUAUACCUCUCUACGUAGCCCGGGUCAAUCAGGGAAGGAGUUGGGUCCCGUGGAAGAGGGACUAGGCUGGGCUAAGGAUAGACUGGGGGGCCCUGUGGUGGCACCUGCUGAUAUAGUGGGGGCACCGGAUUAUACUAUGGCGGUGCCAGGUAAUACUGUGGCUGAGGCACCGGAUUAUACUGCGGCGGUGGUGCCGGGUGGUACUGUGAAGGAGCAGGCUCUUGCCGGGGUGGCUCGGGAUCCGCUCGCUGCAGCGGUGGCUCAACCUGUGGUAGUGGGGGAGGCUCGGGUAAUUCCUUUCUCCCCUUUCAACCUUGCUGAGCAGCAAUGAUCCUUUCGAGCAUCUCAAAUAUUCUGUCAACAUCUUUCCGAAGUGAAUCAUCCCGGGCUGCUCGGUUUAGUGGGGGUCUCCCUCUCCUCAUCUCUCUGCACCUGCAUUUCACAAGGAAUGGUUGAGUAAUGAUUCUCAGUUUAGUAUUCCACUAAAUAUUAUUGUGUAAGGGACGGGUCCAAGGAACGCGGCUUUGAUAUCAACUCCUACUGAUCUGAAUUGGUUAAGUAAGGAAUGAGCUACACUAGCCUAGUAAAAAUGUCACAUUAUCUCACCGUCACAGUAAUAAAGGUUGGUAG
rnacentral:lncRNA from 1 species